GACACUGGAGAAGCAGCAUGUACAACAGAUUGACUGCAGUAGCUGCCCACCAGGGAGGGAGAUACACUGGGGGAUAGGGAUCCUUGGAGAGAUACUGAUACACAUACACAAAGUUGUGCAUAUUUGCUUUAAAAAAAUCAAAUUAUCACUAUUUUGAUUAUUUUUGUCAUUAUGUACACAUAGUUGAUAAACAGUUACAGUUUUGUGAAAUGUUAAAAUUUGUCCUUUUUAAAAAAAUAGAGGAAACCAAAAAAGUAGAUAAAGUCGUUUUUAUUCUUCAGGUUAAAGAAUUAUAUUUCUUAAGCACCCACCAUAUCCAGUGUUAUAACUUACUAAGUGAAGUUUUAUUUUGGAAUACUUCAUUUCAGAGAUCACAGGAAGAAAUGUUGGUGCUGGCAUAGAAAUGAUUUUAAUUACUGCUUGGCAUUAAUAACAUAGUGAAAUGCAUCUUUGUAUGUGUGUGUUUUUUUUUAUCGCACAUCUUCAUUACCUCCACUUGACUGGCCUUUACCAACUCAUUUUGGACAAUGUGAACUGAAAAUAGAAGUGCAACCUAAAACUCAUCAUCGAGCCCAUUAUGAAACUGAAGGUAGCCGAGGAGCAGUAAAAGCAUCUACUGGGGGGCAUCCUGUUGUGAAGAUCCGAGCCAUCUCCCCUCAACCCCAUAGUUUAGCUUAGUUGGAUUCAAAGAUUAUUACUAAUUCUGUUUUAUUUAUAUCAUGAAGUGUUUUUGUUUUUUGUUUGGAUUCUGUAUUCCUUGGAUUCAUGAAUGUUUGAGAACAUGUUUGUUGUCUAUGUAUUUAAACGUCAGAAUGGCUAUCUAUAAUAAUCUUGAGUCACCCAUUUUCUCAGAAUUUGUUUUAUGGCAUUGUGUAUUGUAGUGAAGUGAAUUUGAACAAAUAGAACUUAUGAACUAUAAUUUCCUGUGCUGGCCAUGCUUUAUGAUUUGUCAUUAUUACCUAAACAUGUUUCACAGUUCUUGACAAAGCUUAACAUUUUAGGUGGGUUUAAAAUGACAGUUACUGAAAAAGAUUGGAGGCAGGGGGAUACAGUAGGGGAACUGGAUGAAGGUUGUCAAAAGAUACAAACUUCCAGUUAUAAGUAAGUACUGAGGAUGUGUAAUGUACAAAUGAUGACUGUAGUUAAUACUGCUGUAUGGUAUAUUUGAAAGUUGUUCAGAGUAGAUACUAAAAGUUCUUGUAACAAGGAAAAAACUUUUUUCCUUUCUCUUUCUCUCUCUUUCUGAUAGCUAUGUGAGCAGAUGGAUGUUAACUAAAUUUAUCAUAGUAAUCAACCAGCAAUAUAUGUAAAUCAAGUCACUAUGCUGUAUACUUUAAAUUUAUACUGUGCUGUAUGUCAGUUGUACCUCAAUAAAGCCGAAAGAAAAAAUGUGAGGAAAAAUCAA